rnacentral:tRNA from 1 species
GCCCGAGUGGUGGAACUGGUAGACACGCAGGACUUAAAAUCCUGUCGCCUUUAAAGCGGUGCCGGUUCGAUUCCGGCCUCGGGUA